CAGAGGGUGCAAGCGUUGUUCGGAAUUACUGGGCGUAAAGCGCGUGUAGGCGGUCUGCCAAGUCUGAUGUGAAAGCCCUGGGCUCAACCCAGGAAGUGCGUCAGAUACUGGUGGACUGGAGUGGCGGAGAGGAUGGCGGAAUACCCGGUGUAGAGGUGAAAUUCGUAGAUAUCGGGUGGAACACCUGUGGCGAAGGCGGCCAUCUGGACGUCAACUGACGCUGAGACGCGAAAGCAUGGGGAGCAAACAGGAUUAGAUACCCUGGUAGUCCAUGCUGUAAACGAUGGAUGCUAGAUGUCGCGGGUAUUGACCCCUGCGGUGUCGACGCUAACGCAUUAAGCAUCCCGCCUGGGGAGUACGGCCGCAAGGUUA
rnacentral:rRNA from 1 species